rnacentral:rRNA from 1 species
UAAUACGUAGGGGGCAAGCGUUAUCCGGAUUUACUGGGUGUAAAGGGAGCGUAGACGGCAAGGCAAGUCUGAAGUGAAAGCCCGGUGCUUAACGCCGGGACUGCUUUGGAAACUGUUUGGCUGGAGUGCCGGAGAGGUAAGCGGAAUUCCUAGUGUAGCGGUGAAAUGCGUAGAUAUUAGGAAGAACACCAGUGGCGAAGGCGGCUUACUGGACGGUAACUGACGUUGAGGCUCGAAAGCGUGGGGAGCAAACAGGAUUAGAUACCCUGGUAGUCCACGCCGUANACGAUGAUUGCUAGGUGUAGGUG